CAGCCGCCGCGGUAAUACGGAGGGCGCGAGCGUUACCCGGAUUUACUGGGCGUAAAGGGCGUGUAGGCGGCCUGGGGCGUCCCAUGUGAAAGGCCACGGCUCAACCGUGGAGGAGCGUGGGAUACGCUCAGGCUAGAGGGUGGGAGAGGGUGGUGGAAUUCCCGGAGUAGCGGUGAAAUGCGCAGAUACCGGGAGGAACGCCGAUGGCGAAGGCAGCCACCUGGUCCACUUCUGACGCUGAGGCGCGAAAGCGUGGGGAGCAAACCGGAUUAGAUACCCGAGUAGUCCCUGUCUCUUAUAC
rnacentral:rRNA from 1 species